rnacentral:rRNA from 1 species
CCAAUAGCGUAUAUUAAAGUUGUUGCAGUUAAAAAGCUCGUAGUUGAAUUUCGGGAUCAAUACACAGGUCGUGCCUCCGGUAUGUACUGGCGUUAUUGAUUCCUCCCUUCUGAUGAACCAUGAUGUCAUUAAUUUGGUGUUGUGGGGAGUCAGGACUGUUACUUUGAAAAAAUUAGAGUGUUUAAAGCAGGCUAACGCUUGAAUACAUUAGCAUGGAAUAAUGAAAUAGGACGUUCGAACCUAUUUUGUUGGUUUCUAGGAUCAACGUAAUGAUUAAUAGGGAUAGUUGGGGGCAUUAGUAUUAAAUUGUCAGAGGUGAAAUUCUUGGAUUUAUUGAAGACUAACUACUGCGAAAGCAUUUGCCAAGGAUGUUUUCAUUAAUCAAGAACGAAAGUUAGGGGAUCGAAGACGAUCAGAUACCGUCGUAGUCUUAACCAUAAACUAUGCCGACUAGGGAUCGGAUGAUGUUAAUUUUUUAAUGACUCAUUCGGCGCCUUACG